AUGAGGAUACCUUGGAGUGUGACGUGGUUCCUAUGUCCGUGUGCCAUCUUCUCCGGAAGACCCUUUCAAUUCGACCUCGGCGUCAUCCACAAUGGGAGAACAAACCACUAUAGUUUCAAGAUGAAGGGAACAAAGUACGUGCUACAACCUAUGUCACCAGGCCAAGUGAUAGCCGACAAGAAAGCAUCUACCCAUCAUGGAGAGACUAGUGAGAGAGUGAACCACCACAAAGUGAGUGAGCGCCACAAGCCACAAUUGAGUGACUCUUUGCCAAAAGAGAAAAACUUGGUCCUCCUAGCCACAAAAAGAGAGAUGAGAGAAGUGUGUGAGGACCCAUCGAGUGUCAUGCACUACGUCCUAUUGUGCAAAGAUGAGGUGGCAAAGACUAACACUCCUAAUCCCCUUCCUCUAGUGUUGGCUGAUUUGUUGCAGGAAUUCAUGGAUGUCUUUCCCGAUGAGCUACCUCCCGGUCUUCCUCCUCUGCGUGGCAUCGAACAUUCAAUCGACCUCAUCCCCGGCGCACCUCUUCCUAACAAGGCUCCAUACCAUGUCAACCCCGAAGAAACCAAGGAAAUACAAAGGCAAGUCCAACAUCUCAUAGAUCAUGGAAAUGUGCGUGGAAGUUUGAGUCCUUGUGUCAUACCGGUAAUUCUUGUGCCAAAAAGAGACGAUAGCUUUUGCAUGUGUUCCGAUUGUAGACCUAUCAAUGCUAUCACCGUUCGAUAUAGGCGUCCCAUUCCACACCUUGAUGAUAUGCUAGAUGAGUUUAGCGGUACCUCCAUUUUCUCUAAAAUUGAUCUUAAAAGUGGCUAUUAUCAAAUCCGCAUACAAGAAGGUGAUGAAUGCAAAACCGCUUUCAAAACAAAAUUUGGCUUGUACGAGUGGUUAGUUAUGCAUAUGGGUUUAUCCGAAGCACCUGGUACUUUCAUGAGAGUUAUGGAUUACGUGCUUCGCCCUUACAUUGGUGUGUUUGUUGUAGUUUACUUUGAAGACAUUCUUGUGUUUAGAAACUCCCUCAAGGAACAUGAAGAUCAUCUUAGGGCGGUUUCACAAACUCUUAGAAAAGAGCGACUUUAUGCCAACAUGGAAAAAUGCACAUUUGACGUUGACAAGAUUGUUUUCUUGGGAUUCGUUGUGUAUUCAAAGGGUGUUCAUGUAGAUGAGUCUGAAAUUGAAGCAAUUAAAACUUGGCCACAACCCACUAAUUUGCAACAAGUGCGUAGUUUCCUUGGUCUAGUAGGUUUUUAUCGUCGCUUUGUGAAAUACUUUAGCACUACUGCCGCACCGUUGCAUGCUUUGAGUAAGAAGAAUGCACCCUUUGUUUGGUGA
rnacentral:rRNA from 1 species